UGGCUCAGGAUGAACGCUGGCGGCAGGCUUAAUACAUGCAAGUCGAGGGGCAGCAGCUUUAUAGCAAUAUAGAGGCUGGCGACCGGCAAACGGGUGCGGAACACGUACACAACCUUCCUUGAAUAGGGGGAUAGCCCAUAGAAAUGUGGAUUAAUACCCCGUAAUAUAGCGGUGUGGCAUCACACUGUUAUUAUAGUUUCGGCGAUUCGAGAUGGGUGUGCGGCUGAUUAGGUAGUUGGCGGGGUAAAGGCCCACCAAGCCUUCGAUCAGUAGCUGAUGUGAGAGCAUGAUCAGCUACACGGGCACUGAGACACGGGCCCGACUCCUACGGGAGGCAGCAGUGGGGAAUA
rnacentral:rRNA from 1 species